UACGUAGGGGGCAAGCGUUGUCCGGAUUUAUUGGGCGUAAAGAGCGUUUAGGCGGCCAUACAGGUCAGCUGUGAAAACUCGAGGCUCAACCUCGAGACGUCGGUUGAAACCGUAUGGCUAGAGUCCGGAAGAGGAGAGUGGAAUUCCCGGUGUAGCGGUGAAAUGCGCAGAUAUCGGGAAGAACACCCGUGGCGAAGGCGGCUCUCUGGGACGGUACUGACGCUGAGACGCGAAAGCGUGGGGAGCGAACAGG
rnacentral:rRNA from 1 species